GCAUGAUGGCUCCAUCGCUGGGCUGACCUCAGAUCGUGCUGGUCUCAGUGAUGAACGGAAGGAAUGAGAAAUCUUCUAACAGAUUCCACAUUUCUGAUGGAGUCUCAGUCUAUUGCCCAGCCUGGGGUGCAGUGGUGUGAUCUCGGCUCACUGAAACCUCCACCUGCCAGGUUCAAGCAAUCCUCCUGCCUCAGCCUCCCAAGUACCUGAGAUUACAGGUGACAGAGAGAGAGAGAGAGAGAGAGAGAGAGAGAGAAAGAAACAGAGAGAAAGAAAAAGAAAAAAAAGAAAAAGCAAGAGGUGCUGGCCAUUCCAGGUACCAUGAGGCCAAUGAAAUCAAUGUUCUGUCCUUUCCUUCAUGGUACUGACUGAAGAUCUUUAUCUGAUGUGUUGGAUCACAGGCACAGGCAGGGACAAGAGACAACUUCUACACAUGUCCCAGCCUCUGCUUCACUGGGAACAAGAAGUUGCUCUGAAGUAGACCCCUGAGCAACACAGGUAUAUGAGGAUUUUCCUCCGCCUCGGCCACCCCUGAGACAGCAAGAUCAAUCCUUCCUCUUCCUCCUCUUCCUCCACCUCCUCAAUGUGAAGAUGAUGAGAAUGAAGACCUUGAUGAUGAUCCACUUCCACUUAAUGAAUAGUGAAUCCAUUUCCUCCUCCUUAUGAUUUUCCUAAAAGCAUUUUCUUUUCUCUAGCUUGCUUUAUUAGAAGAAUACCAUAUAUAAUACAUAUAAACAUACACGAUAUGUAUUAAUUUACUGUUUAUAAUAUUGGUGAGGUUUCUGGCCAAGAUUUCUUCCCAGUUCUGACAUUAAAAAAUGCUUCCUGAACACAUGUUGUUCAAGGAUCCACUGUAUAUUAAUUAUAUAAUGUAUAUAUUUAUAAAGUAUAAAUUAAUAUAACUAUAUUAUGAAUUAAAAAUUUAUAAUAUAAUAAAGUAAUAAUUUAUAGAAAAUAAUAAUAAAUUCA
rnacentral:lncRNA from 1 species